rnacentral:rRNA from 1 species
GGAAUAUUGCACAAUGGGGGAAACCCUGAUGCAGCCAUGCCGCGUGUGUGAAGAAGGCCUUCGGGUUGUAAAGCACUUUCAGUAGGGAGGAAAGGGUGUAACUUAAUACGUUAUAUCUGUGACGUUACCUACAGAAGAAGGACCGGCUAACUCCGUGCCAGCAGCCGCGGUAAUACGGAGGGUCCGAGCGUUAAUCGGAAUUACUGGGCGUAAAGCGUGCGCAGGCGGUUUGUUAAGCGAGAUGUGAAAGCCCUGGGCUCAACCUAGGAAUAGCAUUUCGAACUGGCGAACUAGAGUCUUGUAGAGGGGGGUAGAAUUCCAGGUGUAGCGGUGAAAUGCGUAGAGAUCUGGAGGAAUACCGGUGGCGAAGGCGGCCCCCUGGACAAAGACUGACGCUCAUGCACGAAAGCGUGGGGAGCAAACAGGAUUAGAUACCCUUG